rnacentral:lncRNA from 1 species
UUUUAUUUAUUUUGAUUUUAAUUUUGGAGGGCUGAGAUUGAAGGCUGAAGAAUCCCAUUGGAAAUGGGAAUUCAAUCAGAAGAGUCCAGUGGGAUUCAAAGAUUGAAUUCCCGUCCAAUGAGGAAUUGGGAUUGAUCAGGAACUCCUGAUCAAUCCCUAUAAAAGGGACUCUGGAACAGAAUGCAAGGAACACAGAAAACAGUAAGCAAAGCUACUGAUUUGAGAGAAAAGGAGGCGUAUAGGAAGUUAGAAAAAGUUUAGGAGUGUUCUGGGAGUGAGAAAAAUUUUUUAGAAAUUUUUGGCGAAAAUUUUUUCUGG